CCUACGUGAGGCAGCAGUGGGGGAUAUUGCACAAUGGGGGAAACCCUGAUGCAGCGACGCCGCGUGUGGGAAGACGGUCCUCUGGAUUGUAAACCACUGUCCCCAGGGACGAAGAUGACGGUACUUGGGGAGGACGCUCCGUCUACCUACGUGCCAGCAGCGGCGGUAAUACGGAGGGAGCGAGCGUUGUCCGGAAUUACUGGGUGUAAUGGGAGCGUAGGCGGGGAGGCAAGUUGGGGGUCAAAACUACCGGCUCAACUGGUAGUCGCAAUCGAAACUGCAGCUCUUGAGUGAAGUAGAGGCAGGCGGAAUUCGGAGUGUAGCGGUGAAAUGCGUAGAUAUUAGGAGGAACACCAGUGGCGAAGGCGGCCUGCUGGGCUUUUACUGACGCUGAGGCUCGAAAGUGUGGGGAGCAAACAGGAUUAGAUACCCCUGUAGUC
rnacentral:rRNA from 1 species